rnacentral:rRNA from 1 species
UACGAAGGGGGCUAGCGUUGCUCGGAAUCACUGGGCGUAAAGGGCGCGUAGGCGGCGUUUUAAGUCGGGGGUGAAAGCCUGUGGCUCAACCACAGAACGGCCUUCGAUACUGGGACGCUUGAGUAUGGUAGAGGUUGGUGGAACUGCGAGUGUAGAGGUGAAAUUCGUAGAUAUUCGCAAGAACACCGGUGGCGAAGGCGGCCAACUGGACCAUUACUGACGCUGAGGCGCGAAAGCGUGGGGAGCAAACAGG